rnacentral:rRNA from 1 species
UUGGAGGGCAAGUCUGGUGCCAGCAGCCGCGGUAAUUCCAGCUCCAAUAGCGUAUAUUAAAGUUGUUGCAGUUAAAAAGCUCGUAGUUGAAUUUCGGGAUCAAUUAAUUGGUCGUGCCUCUGGUACGCACUGGUUUUAUUGGUUUCUCCCUUCUGACGAACCACGAUGUCAUUAAUUUGGUGUCGUGGAGAAUCAGGACUGUUACUUUGAAAAAAUUAGAGUGUUUAAAGCAGGCUAACGCUUGAAUACAUUAGCAUGGAAUAAUGAAAUAGGACGUUUGAUCCUAUUUUGUUGGUUUCUAGGAUCGACGUAAUGAUUAAUAGGGAUAGUUGGGGGCAUUAGUAUUCAAUUGUCAGAGGUGAAAUUCUUGGAUUUAUUGAAGACUAACUACUGCGAAAGCAUUUGCCAAGGAUGUUUUCAUUAAUCAAGAACGAAAGUUAGGGGAUCGAAGACGAUCAGAUACCGUCGUAGUCUUAACCAUAAACUAUGCCGACUAGGGAUCGGAUGAUGUUAAUUUUUUAAUGACUCAUUCGGCGCCUUACGGGAAAC